rnacentral:tRNA from 1 species
AAGAGACGUAUAAACAAUUAGAGCUGCUAACUCAA